rnacentral:SRP_RNA from 1 species
GCCGAGGGUCGUGGCGGGCUCUUGUGACCCAGCGAGUUGGGGGCGAAGGCGGACGGGGGGGCGGGCGUGCGCCGACCGAGUGUCGUGACCAAGGGCCGCGUCGGCAGGGGCGGCCCGGGGGAGCCGGGGCCCGUCCCGGGCGCAUAAUGCGGAGAGCAACGGCUCAGGCCCGCAAGGGAGCAGGCAAAAUCUCCCGCGCGGUCACAGUGGCUCCGAUAGCACUCGCGAGCACGCCACCCAAACGCCCACCGCCAAGCUUUUU